rnacentral:rRNA from 1 species
GAUGAACGCUGGCGGCGUGCCUAAUACAUGCAAGUCGAACGCUGGAAAUCUAGCUUGCUAGCUUGAAGGAGUGGCGAACGGGUGAGUAAUACAUAAGCAACCUACCCACGAAGACUGGGAUAAUCUCUGGAAACGGGGACUAAUACCGGAUAGGUAAUCGGAAGGCAUCUUCUGAUUAUUAAAGGUUAAAAACACUGGUGGAUGGGCUUAUGGCGCAUUAGUUAGUUGGUGAGGUAACGGCCCACCAAGACGAUGAUGCGUAGCCGGCCUGAGAGGGUGAACGGCCACAUUGGGACUGAGACACGGCCCAGACUCCUACGGGAGGCAGCAGUAGGGAAUUGUCGGCAAUGGGGGAAACCCUGACCGAGCAACGCCGCGUGAGUGAUGACGGCCUUCGGGUUGUAAAGCUCUGUUGUAAGGGAAGAACGGUAGAUAGAGAAUAUCUAAAUGACGGUACCUUACCAGAAAGCCACGGCUAACUACGUG